UAGCUCACUGGUCGAGUCGGCCUGCGCGGAAGAUGUAACGGGGCUAAACCAUGCACCGAAGCUGCGGCAGCGACACUAUGUGUUGUUGGGUAGGGGAGCGUUCUGUAAGCCGUCGAAGGUGUGCUGUGAGGCAUGCUGGAGGUAUCAGAAGUGCGAAUGCUGACAUAAGUAACGAUAAAGCGGGUGAAAAGCCCGCUCGCCGGAAGACCAAGGGUUCCUGUUCAACGUUAAUCGGAGCAGGGUGAGUCGACCCCUAAGGCGAGGCCGAAAGGCGUAGUCGAUGGGAAACAGGUUAAUAUUCCUGUACUUGGUGUUACUGCGAAGGGGGGACGGAGAAGGCUAUAUCAGCCGGGCGACGGUUGUCCCGGUUUAAGCGUGUAGGUGUGUGUUCCAGGCAAAUCCGGUUCACUUUACACUGAGGCGU
rnacentral:rRNA from 1 species